CAAUCCCCUGUACCAUCCGUCCCCCAAAAAACGAAUAACUGCUGGGGUGUUGUUUUAUUUCUUUUCACAUUCUAGCUCUGUGCCCCUACAGUUUUUCUUGAAAAUUAUUUGUUUUUCUGUGAUUAAGGUUAAGAUUACUUAACAUCUUGGAAUAUCUUCUUAAUCUCAGGUUUUGAAUCCUUUAUUUGACUGACUAAUGUCCAAUCAGGGUUUAUAAAUAUGUUAGAUUUACUAGAUUAACAUGUUGUGAGGAAAAGGAAGAUGUUAUUGUGGAGAAUGUAAACUUUACAGAAUUCUAGAAUUAGAGCUCAGAGUGACUGUUGAGGAAAUGAGAGCAACAGUGGAUCCAACCCAGUGCCUCACAUGUGCAAGGCAAGCACUCUACUGCCGAGCCACAACGUCAUUGUGCUUCUUACUUAAUCUGUAGUCUUUCACUACCAUUCCUACAGUGGUUGGCAAGAUAUCGUUUCCACCUCACUCUCCAUGUACCAUGCCAGUGACAUCUUAGCUGCUAGAGUGUGGAGCUGGCCUGUGGGAGUCAAGUAUUGGUGAUAUGACGUGUUCACGCAGGGGAAACUUGAACAUUGACAGAGCCGCCCAGAUGGCCUACCCAAACUGUGACCCUGCUGCCACCAGUAUCUUCACUGCUCAUAAAGAAACUGAGCCAGUGGUGUUGCUGCCUGGGACCUUAUGGAGAAGGUUACAGCAGGAGUUGAUGACUCUCAAAAUGGUGACAAAGGAAUUUCUGCCUUCCUUGAACCACAACCCUUUCAAUUGGAUAGGGACCAACCAUGGAGCAACUUGCAUAGUAUGUGAAGACUAGGUCUGCAACUGGAAAGGAGAUGCCAGCCCUUUUCUUAGUUCAUUACACAAAAUAGACACUCUAGUGGUGUUGAAUAAAUGAAUUUCUCAAUUGUCUAGAAAGUUGAAUAAACUGGCUUCUAAGAACUCUUAUUUCAUAUUUGUAUUUAAAAUAUUAAUUUCUGUAUGUACACAUGACUUUUAUAUAACUGAAUUUUUCUUUCUUUCUAUAUCUUGCUUAUUUCCCACUCCCUCUUUCAUUUUACUACAAGAUAACUAUGUAAUAUAUAUAUAUAUAUUACAUAUAUAUAUAUAUAUCCUUCCAUAUUUCCCCUGUAUUUGAAUAAUGAUCUUACCUAAUUUUUUUUGUCUGCCUAUCAAACACUUCUUUAUGCACAUGUUAUAUAUAUUGUUUAUAGUUUUAUUAAACUGAAUAUAUUCCACAUUCCGUUCUGUAUCUUGUUUUUCUUAAAAACUAAUAAGUAGUAGAGCUUCCUCUAAGCCAGUAAUAGCUCUAAGUUAUUAAUGGCUGUGUAACAUGCCAUAUGUAUGGGUUCUGCCAUGCAAUUGCUUUACCCUUAUUUGACUGAUCCUUUACCAAUUUACUUUGUUUCCCAUUUUGUCACUGUAUACAUCAUAGUAAGCACCUUGUACAUAUCCUCAUAUACUGGUACAUUACUUUUAUGACAGUCAGAAGUGGGAUUACUGUUUUAAAGGAUCUAUACAUAAUACAUUUAAUAAUUACUGCCAGAUUGCUUUUCAAGACCAACUUAAUUCAUUGAGUCCCAAGUUCUCAAUUCUAAGAAUACUUCAACAAAAUUGACACAGAUGCAUUAAAAUAGGUUGGAAAUAAUAAUGUAGAGCUUCUGUAUGUGUAAAUAUA